GGAGGGUAGGGGGCUGGGGCCUCACCUGGUCUGCAAAACCAGUGCAUGAGUGAAGAAAAGCUCAUGGUGGGUUCGAUUCCCACUUCCCUUCUCCA
rnacentral:tRNA from 1 species